ACGGGGUCUACAAUGCACUUUUGCAAGGACUGAAAGCCACCUGGCCGUCUGCCUUAAUGCGAACACGAGGCUUUUUACGCCAGGAGCUGGAUGCAGCUAAGGUGUUCAUCUCAACUUUCUGAAGGGUCGCAGGGGGUGCUGGAGCCUAUGGCAGCUAUCUCAGGGCGAGAGGCAGGGUACGCCCUGGACAGGUCGCUAGUCUGUCACAGGGCUAAACAUUCGUACUCACAUUCACUCAUACCUAUGGGCAAUUUAGAUUUUUCCAAAAACAAUGGGCAAUUAAGAUUUUUCACGUGCCUCCAAAGACGCAAAGGUGUCGCCAUCUGACAUGAUUCAGCAGCGCCUCUUCACAGCUCUGUGGUCACAAGUUGAGCAAAAGCCUCUCAAAAUCACACACAGGGGGAUUAAAAAACUUGAAAAGGUGAUUUUUAAAGCCAUCAAAGCGGCUGGACAUUAGCCCUGAUCUCGUGAUCAUUGCGCUAGCCGUAGGUCAGCCGUACCUAGAGGUGAUCAUUUCCAUAUUUGAAGAUCACCACUUCGGUAAAAACCUGCUGGCAAGGUUCUUCUCGUGGUGCGUUAGAGCCGAGGAUGACGAGGACAAAGAAACUAAAGCCAUGUCUGAAACACGUUUAGAAGAAUUUAAAAGUAAUAUAUUUCCAAUAGUGGAGGAAAAAAUCAUCAUCUGGCAUUAGUGUCAGCGAUUAUGAUGAUGAUGAAGAGGAACAUGUGAGCGCACUCAUUGAUGCUGUGCUCACACGUGUUGAAAAUAAUUCGCACUACAAACCUUCUAAAAAACUCCACAGGUAUCUGUUAAAACACGUGUUGUAAUUAUAAUAAAGGUCAAUCAAAUGGACCAAUAUGGCAAGGCCAUGAUGAUCCACUUGGUAAAAUAAAUCCGCUUGGCAUCUUUCUUGGCCUUAAGACAACAAUUCUUAUGGCUAAAGAUCCAAACGGGACACACAAAAAAACACAUGUUGUCUGACAACAGGAUCAAAGAUCUGCAUAUACAUGUAUAUAAACUGAAAGAUCUCGACCGGGCCAUUUACCAAGAGCUACGUCAGAAAACAUUCUGUUAAGAAAAAACAUUUACUGAUGUUACUGAACGACGAGGACCCAGUGUUGAGAAAACUGACGGUCGAUAUCAUUAAAAAUCACCUGAUCGACACUAUGCAGAAUCCAGCCCUGUGUGAAGCUGAAGAGGCUGAAAAUUACAG
ensembl:lncRNA